GAUAUCAGGAUGUCGAAAACAACAGAGGAGGAGAUGCCUGCUGACCAACCAGGAGACAGUUCAGAUUCGGACAGAAACAGCCCUGAUGACAAGCGGACGGUCGGGGAGAGCCCUGAGAUUACCCAGAUCCACGCCGUGCCUCCAGCGCCCCCUCCUGGCCAAACCGGUCAACAGCAACAACAGCAACAGCAGCAACAGCAACAACAACAGCAACAACUACAGCAACAGCAACAACAACAGCAGCAACAGCAACAACAACAGCAGCAGCAACAACAGCAACAGGCCCAACAACAACAACAGCAGGCCCAACACCAUCACACACAGCUGAUGAUCGCCGGCUCCCAGUUAGCAGGGCUGGCCGCCCUCCUCCCCGCCCAGCAGCAGCUCCUCCUCCAGCAGGCCCAGGCCCAG
ensembl:lncRNA